UAGCGCAAUUCUCGAGUUCGAAUUCGAUGCGUAUUUCGCAAAAGGAGUCGCGCUCCGUUCGUUCGCGUGACGGCUCGUUCGCGCGCCGCUUGUCCUCGCGAUUCGCGCAUCUCGGGCAUCCUUCGGAGUCGCCUCCCUCCGGGUUUCCACCGUCGCGAUCGAACGCCCCGCGGAAUGGGAUGCUGUGCGUGAAAGGCGGAAUGGUCGCCCGUCACCAGCCAUGUUCAUCGAGUGUCCUUUUGUUGUGACAACGUGAUACAAUAUUUAUUUCGCUCUAUUGCCCGUCCGAGGCGAUCCUUGCGCGCGCAAUCAACGGCACUUGGCUCUUUCUCGCGAAGGAUCCCUCCUCGUCUCGUGUGCGGUGUCGCGUCGUCUCGCCUCGUCCCGUCUCCUCUCGUUCCCUCUCGUUCCCUCUCGUUCCGUCUCGUCUCGUUUCGCCUCGUCUCGCCUCGCCUCGCCUCGUUUCGUCUCGACUCAUCUCAUCUCAUCUCAGAUCGUCUCGUCCUGUUGAAACUUCUUAUUAACGUUUACUCGCUGCCGUCAAGUAUAGAUUAAAUGAAAGGUCGGUAGCAAUAGAGGUGGUGGCGGGGUGGAGCUCGAAGAAGGGAUGAAUGGAACGGCAGCGCUGCGGCGCAGCGUCGGGGCUGGUCAGGCAGGCGCCAUCAGUGGUGGAGCCAUUGAACCAGCACCUAUCGCCACUCUCGUAAUAUACAAGGAUGAUGCUGGAUUCGGAAUGAAAGUUUCUGGCGACAAUCCGGUCUACGUUCAAUCCGUGAAAGAAGAUGGCGCAGCAGCAAGAGCCGGUCUUCACGCAGGUGAUAAAAUAAUCAAGGUGAAUGGAGUUAACGUGAUGCAGUCUACACACAUAGAAGUGGUCCAGCUUAUAAAAUCAUCGACGCAAGUGGUACUAACGGUGCAACAGAAGCCAGUGGCAGCGAGCAGCGCAGUGGCAGUGACGGGGGCAGCGACAACAACAGCGACAGUGACAGCAACGACAGCUUCCGGUCUGCAAGUCGGAGUAGUCGGUGCUGCGACGAGUCAGCAGCAUCAACGUCCGGUCAGUUUGUCGGCGGCAGGAAACAUGUCACCGUCGCAAACGACCAUGUUUCUUCACAGAGCAUCCACCGCACCGGCAGGCGGUGCUUCGUGUAAUGCUCGAAUCACGGGUCCACAACCAGUCGAUCUUGAAAAGAAGCGACAAUUGGAAACACAAAGAGUUAACACAUUCCAGCUUAUGUUGGAGAAAGAACAAAGCUAUGUAGAUAAAUUACGGAGCGAGUUGGCGAAGGCUGGCACUGGUAGCGGAAACGUCAACGUUGCGACUGUACAGACAGAAUUAGCGGGUGCCGAAAGAAGAGUGCGCACCCUGCAGGAACAGCUCGCAGCGAUUAGCACGAGUAAUGAACAGCUUUGCUCGUUGGUAACAAACACCUCGUGCUCCUCGGGCUAUUACCCACUCUCAAAUAACGGCAGUGGCGCAGACGUGCCACCCCCACUGCCGUCGCGUAAAUCCUUAUCCAUGCAAAGUCUCUCUCCACCGCCUUUGCCUCCCAGACCUCCACCCGCCGCAAAUACGCAAAAUACAGCCCAGCUGGAGCUGGACCGACAUCUGUUGACUCAUUUAACGCCCUCAACUGUCAGUCACAGUAUUCCUAACUCUUUUUCUCAGGAUGCCAAUUUGAGCGCUUCAAACGCGCUCACCAAACAUCAGAGAACAAAGUCGAGUCCGGAACAAUUAGGAACUACAGCGAUAUCUCCGUCAGAAGCUAGUAGACGUUUGAUCGCAUCUGAAUCGAUGAACGAUCUAUCUCCUCCAAGACACUUCAGACACAAUGAUAUCGAUGUCAAUGAAUUACAGCGUAUUACACCACCGGGGACACCGCCGCCUCCGUAUCCAGCCCCCAUUUUAGGACAAGAUCUUUUUUCAUCUACGCCAAACGAUACACUCGCAACUGAUAUCAUUCCUGGAUUGCCAGCGUUCCAACAACCAAUUAUGUCAAUGGAAGAAGAUGAUGUUAGUGAUCAAGAAAUUGGUCAAUUAGAAGAUCACGGACCGUUCCAAUCUUUAUCUAGGUUGUGGGGGCAUCAUGCACAUCUUGCUGUAUUUAUUAAUUAUGUUUUAUCCAAUAGCGAUCCUUCUAGCCUGUUAUUUUAUUUGAUAACGGAUUUAUACAAGGAAGGAAAUGCCAAAGAAAUGAGAAAAUGGGCAUAUGAGAUUCAUUCUAGUUUUCUAGUACCUGGUGCACCAUUACGUCUGCAUAAUGUAGAUGAAAAUGUUGCAAAUGAAAUAGAUGAUGUUCUCUUGAAGGAAUCUGAUAAAGAAGAAAUUCUUAGAAAGAUAUUUUGGAAAGCACGCAAUAGAGCAAAGGAAGAAUUGAAUGAACAACUAACACAUUUCCAGCAAAAAAGAACCGCAGGAUUGGCCACAAUCUUUGGUCCAACCGAUAUUUCGCUGGAUGAGAGCAUAUCCGACAAAACACGUGAAACAAAAAUUAUUGAGACAUACCUGCUGCCAAAGAUGGAACCUUACUUGGAGGAUAUAGAGAAGGAACAUGUGGACUUGCGGCUAUUUACAACUGCAGCUGGUCUAGCUACGAUAUUGAUAAAGAUAUUUCAAUUGCGACCGGUGUGGGCCGAUCGAGUACCUACUUUCGUCGCGAAAGACAAAUCCAACAUCAAAGCACGGUUGCUUACUGGAAAAUCACGUAAAAUGACAAUCAGGGGACAUCAUUUCGUGGCACAUCAAUACUUCACGAUAACUUAUUGCAAUCAUUGUCAACUUAUCAUUGGUGGUAUUGGACCUCAAGGAUACUUAUGUAGUGAUUGUUCUCUCAGCGUACAUCGACAAUGUGUUCGUGUGGUAGAGGAAAAUUGCCCGGGUCCUUUGGUGCGAAAAGAAAGAGCCAAUGACAGAAUCAGUAAACUGAUGGAUCGUAUUCGACCAGAGAGAAAACCUCCAUCCCAUCAUCACCAUCAUUCUCAGAAUCAUAUAUUACAUUUAGACAAAAUUAAAAGAAAUGAAGAAGAUUCUGGCACAUUAACAGAUGGAGAGAAUGGAGAACAGCGCUCAAGCAGUAUACCCGGAAAUGCUCGUAGCAGUUGCGAAAGGGUGCGAAUUUCUGGUUUAGGAGGAACUAACGAUCAUACCGAUAACAUGGAUAAUCCUUCAUCACGAGAAGAUAUCUCUGAAAUGGUCCAGCAAAAUAUUUCCAGUAAGCCAAAGACGUCAAACAUCAACAGGUCUGAAAGUUACAAGGAGCGGAUACAUCAUAAGAGGCAACUAAGAGAAAAGAGGAAAACCAGCGAUCCGAAUCUCUCCAAAACAAAAGUCGGUUCCAGCGAUUGCGAGCCUUCUGGAACCUUCCCCGGGAAUUCGGCUGGUAGUUCGUCAAACAGCAGCUUAUCAACUAGGAGUCUGGAUAGUCCCAGUACUAGCCUGGAGCAGGUACAUCCCACCACAUCAGCGGCAAGUGCUUCAACUUCGUGGGACAGUGAUGUCGACGUCGAGGCUGAUCCACCGGAUUGGAGCCAGGCAGUUGCCGAGGAUGUUCUCGCACAGCUUAGCAAUUCUGAAAAAAAGAGACAGGAUGUUAUUAACGAAUUAUUUCACACCGAACGCUCCCACGUUCGCGCGUUAAAAGUGCUCUCGCACGUCUUCCACAAGCCUCUGUUAGAGUCUCAAGUGCUGCCGUUAGAUCAGAUUCAACUGCUCUUCUCCAACUUGGACGAAAUGUUGAUGAUCCAUUCGCGCUUCAAUCAGUCGAUGAAGCGAAAGAAGAAGGAGAACCCGUGUGUAGGCGACGUGGGUGAACUUCUGCUGGAGAUGUUCGACGGCGAAGCUGGCGAGGCGUUCGAGAGGGCCGCGUCAACUUACUGCGCUAAGCAGCAAGUUGCUCUGGAUGCUUUACGGGAUCGUCGACGCAAGGAUUCCAAGUUGAACGCCUUCCUAAAUGAGGUGGAAGCGAAUCCGCUGUGCCGUCGGCUUCAGUUGAAAGAUCACAUACUCACCGGCAUGUUACGACUCACCAAGUACCCAUUGUUAUUUGAGAAUCUCGUCAAGUACACGCCGGACAGUAACGAGAAAGAAAAGGCGGCCAUGUUACGCAGUCUCGAACGUAGUAAGGAGAUCCUGAGUCGUGUUAACCAGGCGGUGAAGGAGGCUGAUGAUCAUCAGCGACUCACGGACAUCCAACGAGCGAUCGAUCGAUCGGCCUUUGACAAGUUCGAUCAUCCGACUGUGCAGGAAUUCAAAAAUCUUGACAUCACGAAACGUAAACUGAUUUACGAGGGACCGUUACAGUGGCGGCGCACUGAACCGAAUCGAUCGAUGCCGAAUCGCUCGGUACCAAAGCCGGUAGAUCUGCAUGUAGUGUUGCUCGAUGACACAAUCUUCUUCUUACAUCGACAAGAUGACAAGUAUCUGCUUAAGUUUAUUAACACGACUAAUCAGGCAGGCAAUUCCGUGCUCAGUCCAAUCGUCAAGCUAUCCACUGUGCUCGUACGUCACAAUGCCGCCGAAAAGGACUCUCUCUAUCUGGUCAAUACUUCGCAGAAUGGUGCGCAAAUGUAUAAUCUGGUGGCGCCGACUUCCGCAGAACGCAAGCUCUGGUGUAAGCACAUAUCCGAGGCAGUGGAAGCUUACAAGGCGCGCGAUCGCCAGGGCAGAAGACCAACACCGCCUACUAUGCUCUCAGAGGAACCGACAAACGCGAUGGAAGACGGAUCGCCUUCAGAAGCAGAUAGCAUAAUCGUUGAGAAGACUCAAUCACAGAAUAGAGAAUCGAGGGAGCUUGAACAAAGUGCUCCUGCCGGCAUGCAGGAACAUGAUGAGGAAACACCGGAAACCACCACGACUACGGAAACUCCGACGACUGCCGAACAAACGCAACAACGGAUGCAACAGCAAUCGACUGUUGAGUCGCCAAUGACAGGUAUAGCGGAGCCACUACGAAUGGUCACAUGUACUCAGCUCUCAUUGAUAGAUCCAUUGGAAGUUCAUGUAGAAGUACCACCAGUGCAUAUUGCAGAGCCGGUUCUUACACCAAUAGAAUGUCUGAGGCGUAAGGACGAAAUAAUCAAACAGGCUCUGCUUGAGAAACACAUAUUAAUGGCGGAUAUAUUAAAUAUUCCUAAAGAAGACUUCGAGCAUGUGGCAGACAUAGCAUCUGAACCAUCUUCUGUGGAAAAGGAACCUGCUGAACUUAUACUUGCAGCCAUUAGUCAAACGGAUCAUCUAGUGGGAAUGUUGAACUCUGCAUUAAAUGUAAGCGAAACGGAAACGAUAUUUGCAUCGUGCGGAGCAUCAACGUUAUCGUCUCCUGCUGCAUGCGAAGCUACCGGUUGUCCCACACUACGAAAUCAUUCGCAUCCUCAGCAAUCGAUUAUGGGGAUGAUGCAACCGAUUUGUCAUUAUCUGACAUCCCAGCUUUCCCAGCUGUCGCAACUGCUGGAAAUUAUAAAGGAGCGAGAAGAAGAGCGAGAAAAAUUACGAAAAGAAUUGCGUAGAAGUAGAGAACGUAUACAUGCACUUGAUACUGACGUACAGCGCCGUGAAUUUUCGGAAGUAGUAACCACGACGACUCACACGCAAACGGCCACUGAUGACGUCGUGCAUCAAGACAGUUGCACCAAUGACAUCACUCGUAAUAUUUCCAGAGAAAAUUGAUGGUAAUUCAAUCGAAUCUAUUUAAACAGCCAUUAAUUCAUAAACUAUUCGCUUUCAUGAAGAGAGAUAGAUUUUAUGAGAAUUUAUUCUAUCUGAUAUGAAAAAAAUUAUGACAAAAAAAAUAAUUUAUUUCUACCAUCACGAUAUACGCGUAUAAAUCCAAUGCGGCUGCAGUGAAGGCCCGAAGAUUUUAGACAUCAGAGAUAUAUAUACAAGGAUUUUUUACGCAGUAAACAAUAGAAUCGAUUGAUCGCACUCGAGUAAUUUCGAAAAGGAGCUCAUCGACGCACGCGCAGAAAUAACUGGGGAUUCGAAUCCAGAAAAUCUUAAUCUUCAAGUGGAAACCGAAAUGAUGGGUGACAGCGUCGGUUGAAGCGCAACGGAGGAAACGUUCCGUCGAUCAUAUCCUUCUUGAUCUUGGUGCAUUUCAUGAGCGGUGCUGGAACGUUCUCAUAUACCGAAAGAGAUCAGAAUUAUUUGUAGAAAAAAAAAAAACUGAAAAACGCGGACGAUACAUAUAUACGUGUGUGAGACAUAUAAUUCUUUACUGCGGAUAAUAAUGCUACAUAUAUACAGAAGAGAGAAACAAGUCAUUUUCAAGCUGUUUUAUUUGUCUGAUAAAAUUUUUGGGAAAAAUAUUUCGAUGAUAAUAUAUAUUUAUAUACUGUUAGCUCUCUUUUAAUUGAUAGAAAUUCAAUGCGUAAUGUUAUAGAAUACGAUAUAUAUUAAAAAUCUGUGUUCACAAAUUGUCUCUUUUUCUAAAUGACCUUUUUUUAUUACUUUGUAAACACUGGAAACAUACGUCGCAUAUU